UACGGGAGGCAGCAGUGAGGAAUAUUGCGCAAUGGGCGGAAGCCUGACGCAGCGACGCCGCGUGAGGGAUGAAGGUUUUCGGAUCGUAAACCUCUGUUAAGCAGGGAAGAGAACGGACGGUACCUGCUGAGGAAGCAUCGGCUUACUACGUGCCAGCAGCCGCGGUAAU
rnacentral:rRNA from 1 species